rnacentral:rRNA from 1 species
UACGUAGGGACCGAGCGUUGUCCGGAUUCAUUGGGCGUAAAGAGCUCGUAGGCGGCUGUUCAAGUCGAACGUGAAAACUCGGAGCUCAACUCCGAGCCUGCGUUCGAUACUGGACGGCUAGAGUCUGGUAGGGGGAUCUGGAAUUCCUGGUGUAGCGGUGAAAUGCGCAGAUAUCAGGAGGAACACCAAUGGCGAAGGCAGCACUCUGGGACGUGACUGACGCUGAGACGCGAAAGCGUGGGGAGCAAACAGG